GGUUAGAUCAGCACGGCGUUGGUUGUCCGUGUUUAAGGGUGUAGGCUGAGGAGCCAGGCAAAUCCGGCUCCUUAAGGCUGAGACCUGAUGACGAGUCCUCUUUUGGAUGAAGUGAUCAAUACCAUACUUCCAGGAAAAUCCUCUAAGCUCCAGCUUAUACGAGACCGUACCCCAAACCGACACAGGUGGUCAGGUAGAGAAUACCAAGGCGCUUGAGAGAACUCGGGUGAAGGAACUAGGCAAAAUAGUACCGUAACUUCGGGAGAAGGUACGCCGGCUUUGGUGAUGGGACUUGCUCCCUCAGCUGAGGCUGGUCGAA
rfam:Motiliproteus sp. MSK22-1 scaffold89_cov18844_read212, whole genome shotgun sequence.